rnacentral:rRNA from 1 species
CCUACGGGAGGCAGCAGUGAGGAAUAUUGGUCAAUGGACGAGAGUCUGAACCAGCCAAGUAGCGUGAAGGAUGACUGCCCUCUGGGUUGUAAACUUCUUUUAUAUGGGAAUAAAAUUUUCCACGUGUGGGAUUUUGUAUGUACCAUAUGAAUAAGAGUCGGCUAACUCCGUGCCAGCAGCCGCGGUAAUACGGAGGAUCCGAGCGUUAUCCGGAUUUAUUUGGUUUAAAGGGAGCGUAGGGGGAUUGUUAAGUCAGUUGUGAAAGUUUGCGGCUCAACCGUAAAAUUGCAGUUGAAACUGGCAGUCUUGAGUAGAGUAGAGGGGGGCAGAAUUCGUGGUGUAGCGGUGAAAUGCGUAGAGAUCACGAAGAAUUCCGAUGGCGAAGGCAGCCCCCUGGACUGAAACUGACACUGAGGCUCGAAAGUGUGGGUAGCAAACAGGAUUAGAUACCCGUGUAGUC